GAUGAAGAACGUAGCGAAAUGCGAUAAGUAGUGUGAAUUGCAGAAUUCAGUGAAUCAUCGAAUCUUUGAACGCACAUUGCGCCCUUUGGUAUUCCAAAGGGCAUGCCUGUUCGAGCGUCAUUUGUACCCUCAAGCUUUGCUUGGUGUUGGGCGUCUUGUCUCUAGCUUUGCUGGAGACUCGCCUUAAAGUAAUUGGCAGCCGGCCUACUGGUUUCGGAGCGCAGCACAAGUCCCACUCUCUAUCAGCAAAGGUCUAGCAUCCAUUAAGCCUUUUUUUCAACUUUUGACCUCGGAUCAGGUAGGGAUACCCGCUGAACUUAAGCAUAUCAAUAAGCGGAGGA
rnacentral:misc_RNA from 1 species